rnacentral:rRNA from 1 species
GACGAACGCUGGCGGCGUGCCUAAUACAUGCAAGUCGAACGGAGUGGCGCACGGGUGAGAAAACUAUAGCUAAUCUGCCCCUUGCUGGAGGACAACAGAUAGAAAUGACUGCUAAUACUCCAUAGCAAGGGAUGAUAGUAUAUCGUAUCAGCUAGUCGGUGGGGUAACGGCCUACCGAGGCUAUGACGCGUAACACGUCUGAGAGGAUGAUCAGUCACAUGGGAACUGAGACACGGUCCAAACUCCUACGGGAGGCAGCAGUAGGGAAUAGUGCGCAAUGGGCGAAACUCUGACGAAGCAACGCCGCGUGGAGGAUGACACUUUUCGGAGCGUAAAUUACUUUUGUUAGGGAAGCGGUACCUAACGAAUAAGCACCGGCUAACUCCGUGCCAGCAGCCGCGGUAAUUC